UGGUACUAAGUGUGGUAUUAUCAGAGAGUUCCAGCAGAAAGGCCUGGUUCUGGGACCAUCCAUCAGGAGACGGGAGAGACGAGGACGAAGACUUCUGCAGCUCCGGCCUAAAGACAGAAGACAUUACAGGAAGGAAAGAGGGAGCAAGGGAAGGAAGGGAAAGCGUGAUAAAGUGUGA